rnacentral:rRNA from 1 species
GACGAACGCUGGCGGCGUGCUUAACACAUGCAAGUCGAACGGACAGGCCCUGCUCUUGUGGGGUGCUCGAUUGGCGAACGGGUGAGUAACACGUGAGUAACCUGCCCCUGACUGUGUGAUAACUUCAGGAAACUGCGGCUAAUACCCGAUAUGAUCUCCUGCAGCAUGGUGGUGGUUGGUAAGUUUCGGCGGUUGUGGAUGGUUUCGCUGCUUAUCCGCUUGUUGGUGGGGUUGUGGCUUACCAAGGCUUUGACGGGUAGCCGGCCUGAGAGGGUGACCGGCCACAUUGGGACUGAGAUACGGCACAGACUCCUAAGGGAGGCAGAAGUGCGGAAUAUUGCAGAAUGGGCGGAAGGCUGAUGAAGCAACGCCGCGUGCGGGAUGACGGCCUUCGGGUUGUAAAACGAUUUGGACUGUGACGAAGCGUGAGUGACGGUAAUGGGUAAGGAAGCACCGGCUAACUACGUG